GGGACCUUAGCUCGGCUGGGAGAGCGCAUCGCUGGCAGCGAUGAGGUCAGGGGUUCGCCCGCGCGGACGUAAUGAAGCGAGAUAGCUUCCAAGCAAUCUCGUCUAAUGCAGGAGCACGGCGUCUGAAUCUACCGCUAAAAGUCCUCGCCCGAGUAAGCUUCGUCAGCUAUAUAAUCAAAGAUUCAUACAUCCCAUAUGGAAAGACGAGUUUGUGCAAGUCAUAUCCCGCUAGUCUCCACCA
rnacentral:tRNA from 1 species